AACAAACGCUGGCGGCGUGCCUAAUACAUGCAAGUCGAACGGGGAAAGCUUUCGGGUGAGUACUAGUGGCGCACGGGUGAGGAACGCGUGGAUAAUCUGCCUUAGAGUGGGGGAUAACUAGUCGAAAGAUUAGCUAAUACCGCAUAAGACCACAGGAGCUGCGGCUCAAGGGGUCAAAGGUUUUUCGCUCUAAGAUGAGUCCGCGUAAGAUUAGCUAGUUGGUGAGGUAACGGCUCACCAAGGCGACGAUCUUUAACUGGUCUGAGAGGAUGAUCAGUCACACUGGAACUGAGACACGGUACAGACGCCUACGGGAGGGAGCAGUAGGGAAUAUUGAGCAAUGGAGGAAACUCUGAUGCAGCGACGCCGCGUGAGUGAUGAAGGCCAUCGGGUCGUAAAGCUCUGUCGCAGAGGAAUAACACAAUGAAUGUACCCUGUAAGAAAGGAUCGGCUAACUUCGUGCCAGCCGCCGCCGUAACAC
rnacentral:rRNA from 1 species